GAUGAAGAACGUAGCGAAAUGCGAUAAGUAAUGUGAAUUGCAGAAUUCAGUGAAUCAUCGAAUCUUUGAACGCACAUUGCGCCCUCUGGUAUUCCGGGGGGCAUGCCUGUUCGAGCGUCAUUAUAACCACUCAAGCUCUCGCUUGGUAUUGGGGUUCGCGGUUUCGCGGCCCCUAAAAUCAGUGGCGGUGCCUGUUGGCUCUACGCGUAGUAAUACUUCUCGCGAUUGAGUUCGAUAGGUCUACUUGCCAGUAACCCCCAAUUUUUACAGGUUGACCUCGGAUCAGGUAGGGAUACCCGCUGAACUUAAGCAUAUCAAUAAGCGGAGGA
rnacentral:misc_RNA from 1 species